AUUGAACGCUGGCGGCAGGCCUAACACAUGCAAGUCGCGCGAGCGGCGGACGGGUGAGUAAUGUAUGGGGACUGCCCGAUAGAGGGGGAUAACUACUGGAAACGGUGGCUAAUACCGCAUACUAUCGGAUAACCCAUAUGGGAUUAGCUAGUAGGUGGGGUAAAGGCUCACCUAGGCGACGAUCUCUAGCUGGUCUGAGAGGAUGAUCAGCCACACUGGGACAGUGACACGGCCCAGACUCCGACGGAGGCAGCUGUGGGGAAGAUGGCACAAUGGGCGCAAGCCUGAUGCAGCCAGGCCGGGUGUAUGAAGAAGGCCUUAGGGUUGGAAAGUACUUUCAGCGGGGAGGCGUUACCCGCAGAAGAAGCACCGGCGAACUCCGAGCCAGCAGCCGCGGUAAUUC
rnacentral:rRNA from 1 species